CAGAGAAAGACACAUACCAUAUACUCACAAAUACAGAAAACAAACUUUUGCUUGCCAGAUGAGACAGGGGUUGAAGGAUGGGCAAAACAGCCCUACUGAAGUAAAACGGACAAAAUCAUAAGAAAGCUCUGGUUCCGAGCAGCUGCCUUACUGGUAUUUAUGGGAGUAUCAAAUUGAAAGGAAAACAU